rnacentral:rRNA from 1 species
GACGAACGCUGGCGGCGUGCUUAACACAUGCAAGUCGAACGGAAAGGCCCUUCGGGGUGCUCGAGUGGCGAACGGGUGAGUAACACGUGGGUGAUCUGCCCUGCACUUUGGGAUAAGCCUGGGAAACCGGGUCUAAUACCGGAUAGGACUACGCGAUGCAUGUCGUGUGGUGGAAAGCUUUUGCGGUGUGGGAUGGGCCCGCGGCCUAUCAGCUUGUUGGUGGGGUGAUGGCCUACCAAGGCGACGACGGGUAGCCGGCCUGAGAGGGUGUCCGGCCACACUGGGACUGAGAUACGGCCCAGACUCCUACGGGAGGCAGCAGUGGGGAAUAUUGCACAAUGGGCGCAAGCCUGAUGCAGCGACGCCGCGUGAGGGAUGACGGCCUUCGGGUUGUAAACCUCUUUCAGCAGGGACGAAGCGCAAGUGACGGUACCUGUAGAAGAAGCACCGGCCAACUACGUGCCAGCCGCCGCCGUAAGAC